UACGGAGGGUGCAAGCGUUAUCCGGAUUCACUGGGUUUAAAGGGUGCGUAGGUGGGUCUGUAAGUCAGUGGUGAAAUCUCCAAGCUUAAUUUGGAACUGCCAUUGAUACUAUAGGUCUUGAAUAUCCUGGAGGUGAGCGGAAUAUGUCAUGUAGCGGUGAAAUGCUUAGAUAUGACAUAGAACACCAAUUGCGAAGGCAGCUCACUACGGGAUUAUUGACACUGAGGCACGAAAGCGUGGGGAUCAAACAGG
rnacentral:rRNA from 1 species